UAAGAACUGUAAACGCCUCCACCUAAAAUGU
rnacentral:piRNA from 1 species